rnacentral:rRNA from 1 species
GCUACGAUGUAAGACUACUAGUAACCCUUGAAAAAACAUACCUUUGUUGCUUUGGCGGGCCGCCUUUCUGGCCAGCGGCUCCGGCUGCUGCGUGCCCGCCAGAGGACCCCAACUCUUGAACUUUAAGUGAUGUCUGAGUACUAUAUAAUAGUUAAAACUUUCAACAACGGAUCUCUUGGUUCUGGCAUCGAUGAAGAACGCAGCGAAAUGCGAUAAGUAAUGUGAAUUGCAGAAUUCAGUGAAUCAUCGAAUCUUUGAACGCACAUUGCGCCCUUUGGUAUUCCGAAGGGCAUGCCUGUUCGAGCGUCAUUAUAACCACUCACGCCUUCGCGUGGUCUUGGGGCACGCGGUCUCGCGGCUCCUAAAACCAGUGGCGGUGCCUGUCGGCUCUACGCGUAGUAAAUACUCCUCGCGAUUGAGUCCGGCGGGUGGCUUGCCAGCAACCCCCCCCAUUCUUUCAGGUUGACCUCGGAUCAGGUAGGGAUACCCGCUGAACUUAAGCAUAU